rnacentral:tRNA from 1 species
GGGUAGGUGCCAGAGUGGUCGAUCGGGCUCGCCUGCUAAGCGAGUGUACCGCAAGGUACCCAGGGUUCGAAUCCCUGCCUACCCGCCA